UAGCUACAGGCUUAACACAUGCAAGUCGAGGGGAAACGAUAUUGGAAGCUUGCUUCCGAUAGGCGUCGACCGGCGCACGGGUGAGUAACGCGUAUCCAACCUGCCCACCACUUGGGGAUAACCUUGCGAAAGUAAGACUAAUACCCAAUGAUAUCUCUAGGAGACAUCUGAAAGAGAUUAAAGAUUUAUCGGUGAUGGAUGGGGAUGCGUCUGAUUAGCUUGUUGGCGGGGUAACGGCCCACCAAGGCAACGAUCAGUAGGGGUUCUGAGAGGAAGGUCCCCCACAUUGGAACUGAGACACGGUCCAAACUCCUACGGGAGGCAGCAGUGAGGAAUAUUGGUCAAUGGACGAGAGUCUGAACCAGCCAAGUAGCGUGCAGGAAGACGGCCCUAUGGGUUGUAAACUGCUUUUAUAAGGGAAUAAAGUGAGUCUCGUGAGACUUUUUGCAUGUACCUUAUGAAUAAGGACCGGCUAAUUCCGUGCCAGCAGCCGCGGUAAUACGGAAGGUCCGGGCGUUAUCCGGAUUUAUUGGGUUUAAAGGGAGCGUAGGCCGGAGAUUAAGCGUGUUGUGAAAUGUAGGACGCUCAACGUCUGCACUGCAGCGCGAACUGGUUUCCUUGAGUACGCACAAAGUGGGCGGAAUUCGUGGUGUAGCGGUGAAAUGCUUAGAUAUCACGAAGAACUCCGAUUGCGAAGGCAGCUCACUGGAGCGCAACUGACGCUGAAGCUCGAAAGUGCGGGUAUCGAACAGGAUUAGAUACCCUGGUAGUCCGCACGGUAAACGAUGGAUGCCCGCUGUUGGUCUGAAUAGGUCAGCGGCCAAGCGAAAGCAUUAAGCAUCCCACCUGGGGAGUACGCCGGCAACGGUGAAACUCAAAGGAAUUGACGGGGGCCCGCACAAGCGGAGGAACAUGUGGUUUAAUUCGAUGAUACGCGAGGAACCUUACCCGGGCUUGAAUUGCAGAGGAAGGAUUUGGAGACAAUGACGCCCUUCGGGGCCUCUGUGAAGGUGCUGCAUGGUUGUCGUCAGCUCGUGCCGUGAGGUGUCGGCUUAAGUGCCAUAACGAGCGCAACCCCUCUCCUUAGUUGCCAUCAGGUCAAGCUGGGCACUCUGGGGACACUGCCACCGUAAGGUGUGAGGAAGGUGGGGAUGACGUGAAAUCAUCAC
rnacentral:rRNA from 1 species